rnacentral:rRNA from 1 species
AUUGAACGCUGGCGGCAGGCCUAACACAUGCAAGUCGAACGAGUGGCGGACGGGUGAGUAAUGUCUGGGAAACUGCCCGAUGGAGGGGGACAACUACUGGAAACGGUAGCUAAUACCGCAUACCAUCGGAUGUGCCUAGAUGGGAUUAGCUAGUAGGUGGGGUAAUGGCUCACCUAGGCGACGAUCCCUAGCUGGUCUGAGAGGAUGACCAGCCACCCUGGAACUGAGACCCGGUCCGGACUCCUACGGGAGGCAGCAGGGGGGAAUAUUGGCCAGUGGGCGCAAGCGUGAUGCGGCCAUGCCGCGUAUAUGAAGAGGGCCUUCGGGUUGUAAAGGACUUUCAGCGGGGAGGCGGUACUCGCAGAAGAAGCACCGGCUAACUCCGUGCCAGCAGCCGCGGUAAUUC